rnacentral:rRNA from 1 species
AGUGAACGCUGGCGGUAGGCCUAACACAUGCAAGUCGAACGGCAGCACAGUAAGAGCUUGCUCUUACGGGUGGCGAGUGGCGGGCGGGUGAGGAAUACAUCGGAAUCUACUUUUUCGUGGGGGAUAACGUAGGGAAACUUACGCUAAUAUCGCAUAUGUUCUACCGGUGAAAGCAGGGGAUCUUCGCACCUUGCGUGAUUGAAUGAGCCGAUGCCGGAUUAGCUAGUUGGCGGGGUAAAGGCCCACCAAGGCGACGAGCCGUAGCUGGUCUGAGAGGAUGAUCGGCCACACUGGAACUGAGACACGGUCCAGACUCCUACGGGAGGCAGCAGUGGGGAAUAUUAGGCAAUGGGCGCAAGCCUGAUCCAGCCAUACCGCGUGGGUGAAGAAGGCCUUCGGGUUGGAAAGCCCUUUUGUUGGGAAAGAAAAGCAGCAGGUUAAUACCCCGCUGUUCUGACGGUACCCAAAGAAUAAGCACCGGCUAACUUCGUG